ensembl:lncRNA
GGAAUUUCUCCACCAAAUGUCACAAAAACUGUACCUGGAUUAUGGGUUUCUGAAGAAACACACUUCUCAUGGAAAAAUGCAGAAGUCAAAGGAGAAAAUCCAACCCCACAAGCACAUUUCAAGCCUUAUAAUAUCCCUUGACCAAAGCAAGUCCCAGGACCACCCCCAACGUCAAGGAGCCAGGAAAAACAGAGGAAGUACAGUCUGUCCACCUGGAAGCCAUUGGAAGAAUGUAGAUGUAUGAUAAUAUUGAUUUGAUAAGAUUUACAAGAAAGAGAUUAACUUAAAUACUACAAAAGCAUAAUGCAUCCAAUGAACUCAGACUUUUCAUUUCGAAAAAGAGAAAUAUCCCUUCCAAAUGACUCUGAAAAUUUUAGAAAAUUAUGAUAGUAUAAACAGUGCCUGUGAACAGUACAGUAGAAGCAAUGGACAGGUGGGAGGCAAGCUGGAACAACUGAAGCCUGGAGGACGAAGAAGAAGGCCAUACUUCUUAUAGCCCAGCAUUUAAAUAAUGUGAAAGAAGGAGAGCGGUAAGGAGGUAUUCUCUGUGGAGAUGGUGCAUAGAGGUUGAAUAUAUGAGAGAAAAUGUAGUCCAAAAGAGCAAAACUAAGAGUAAAGAGAAUGUGGUGAGACCAGGAGGAGGGAUCAGAGACUUAGCCCUGAUUGGAAUCUGGGACUCUCCUGAUGGGAACUUUCACUGAGUCUUUUGUGUCCUGUCAACAUAUCUUUAUUGGAACAAAUUUCCCACUUCAGUGUAACCAGAACUAAGUUAGUGUCUAUGUACAGGGAAAUGUUUCAGUCAAAGAUCCCAGAUAGGAGGUUGACUACUGUACAGGAAUGCUGUAUAAUAGAAGUAUGAAGAAAUUUGAAGGUUUAAUGAAAAAGGUGUCUGGAUUCAAGAUACAAAUGGUAAGUAUAGUAGUGUAUCAGCAUGGCUGAGUUGCUUCAGAAAACUUUAAUGCAGGAAUCAGUCAGGGAACCUGGUCCUGGAAGUUGGAUACCCAAAGAAAGGAGUUGAGUGCAGAAACUUCCUAUCAGAAAAUCCAGGGAAUCUUUUGGAGCAGUGGUGGAGGCAGCUGUUUAACCUGAAGCCAGCAAGUAGUAUUAGCUCAUAAACAAAAUUAACAAAUAAAAUAGCUUGCAUCUGUAUUGACCAAGGGAGCAGAAAGAAGUCACAGCGAGAUUGAGAGGAAAUUAUCUGUAUGGAGUAUAUGAACUUAGAUCCCAACCCAGUUAGCCUUGUGAGCUCUGCUCCUAGUGACUCUGCAGGGGCAACUUCACGUGAAAUAUGAUGGAAAAAGGUCAGAAGUCCAGGGGACACGGUCCUAAGCAAGAAAUAUAUAGGAUGUAUACGAUAUGGGUGCAGUGGCAAGAUAGAGUAAGAUCUUUAGAGCGUAUGUAAGAAUGUUCCUGAGAGCCAGAUUUGUUCACAACAGAUCAAGGAGAUUUUUCUGGAGCUCAAAUGCUAAAAACUCCCUGGGUCCAGGGGUGUCUGCCUGGAAUUCCCUAAUUUUGUAGGCAUAUAUCAUAUGAUAGGACAAGGGAUGAGAUGGUAGGGUAAACAGUAAAUUGAGAAUAUGAGGAUGAGCUCCUGUCUUUGGAAAUCCCAGAAGUUACAAGACAGCAACACAACCACACAAGCAGCCUUAAUAGGAAGAGAUAUGAAGAGAAACUUGAAAUUUUAAUCAUGAUUCUUCCAAAAUUUUGCAACAAUUGGUACUAUAUGCCCCUGUUCAUUCGGAAAUCACAGAAAAUUCUCUUAUCUGGGCCAUCACUCAUCUAAGUCCCUCCCCACACGCCAAAGUCUUACCUUUUGGCUUCUUCAUCCAUGGCUCUUAUAAUCUAACAGUGGAGAGCUGGGGCCAUGGACACUUCUCGGCCUCUGAACUCUUCUAUAUUGUGAGAUUCCUACUUUGAGAAUGCACAAGUGCCCUCACCUGCCUCUUUGUUCAGAAAGCUGCAGUAUCACCACUGCACCUUCCUUUGUGAACUUCUGGCAACUGAUGAUGUUAAGCUCAAAGUAGCAUCUGGAUAAUUGUUCAGAGAAAUGCCUAAUUUCCUUGGGUUCAGCAUAUUGGACUAAGGAGGAAAGUCUGAAGGUAUUACUUUGGUCUGGGAGUAACUGGAACCCAAAAGGUCC